UUCACUUCCGGCCCUUUAAAUAAUUUUCUGUUCAAAAGAUAGUCAUUCUCCAAAUCCAAAUAUUGAAAUUUUAACUUAACCUCUCUUUUCUGUCUCCAAACCAUUACAAACCUUUCUGUUGUCAUUCUAUUUCUUUUUAACCUGAUUCAACAGUUUAUACUCAUCCAACCUGUCUCGUCUAGAAAAGCAAAAAAUUUUUUAUGGUUUGCAAAUUUUCAAGUGCAACGACAUGAUUCAUCGGUUCCACGUGUACACAAUUUUGAUAAUACUUCAAAUAGCGAUUUGUCAUGCAAAAAAUUGGAUGUUCUCGAAGAGCUGGAUCGAGGAUUAUCGGACAGAUGUUAAAUAUGGAUUGCCGUAUCAACAAGUGCUGACUGAGUAUAGCAUGAGAACUCAUAAAAUUGGUAUAGUGCAGGCAGAUGAAGAGAUAUAUUUGUACGAAGGCCAUUACGAUAUCGACGAAUCUAAAACGAUCGUAAAAUCAACAGCGAACGUUGCUGUACGUAAUAAAGGUGCAUUAUGUUUCAAUAUCACAUAAUCUUCACAAAAAAAAAUCAUUAACACUCUUCAAUGUGAGCUCCAAACAUGUUCCAUUACGAGUGGAGGCAAAAAUAUUUCUCUUUCUACAGAAUACAAAUUUUUAUCAAUUGUAUUGUAUUUAUUAAUCUUGUGUUUCUGUCAAUGCACCGUAAGAUAAAUAUGAGAUAAAAUUUUUAUCUGAAAGUAAAGACUGGCUUUAAAGACCCACAAGGGGCUUCGGCUGUCUGCUUUCAACUUUGAAUCCAUUGUAAUCGUGUCACAAAUUGGAUUAAACAAUUUUUCAGAAAAA